UACGGGGGGGGCAAGCGUUGUUCGGAAUUACUGGGCGUAAAGGGCUCGUAGGCGGCCAACUAAGUCCGACGUGAAAUCCCCAGGCUUAACCUGGGAACUGCGUCGGAUACUGGAUGGCUUGAAUUCGGGAGAGGGAUGCAGAAUUCCAGGUGUAGCGGUGAAAUGCGUAGAUAUCUGGAGGAACACCGGUGGCGAAGGCGGAUCUCUGGGCCUUACCUGACGCUCAGGCACGAAAGCUAGGGGAGCGAACAGG
rnacentral:rRNA from 1 species